CGGAGCCGUGUGCGGGAAAACCGCAUGCACGGUUUGAUAAGGGAGGGCAGGAGAGAGUCUGUUCUCUACUCUAU
rnacentral:ncRNA from 1 species